rnacentral:rRNA from 1 species
GGCUCAGGAUGAACGCUAGCGGCAGGCUUAAUACAUGCAAGUCGUGGGGCAGCAUGAGUAGCAAUACUUGAUGGCGACCGGCAAACGGGUGAGGAACACGUACACAACCUUCCUUCAAGCGGGGAAUAGCCCAGAGAAAUUUGGAUUAAUACCCCAUAAUAUAUUUGAUAAGGCAUCUUAUUUAAUAUUUAAAAGGCUUCGGCACUUGAUGAUGGGUGUGCGGCUGAUUAGAUAGUUGGCGGGGUAACGGCCCACCAAGUCUACGAUCAGUAGCUGAUGUGAGAGCAUGAUCAGCCACACGGGCACUGAGACACGGGCCCGACUCCUACGGGGAGGCAGCAGUAAGGAAUAUUGGACAAUGGACGAAAGUCUGAUCCAGCCAUGCCGCGUGAGGGAUUAAGGUCCUCUGGAUUGUAAACUUCUUUUAUAUGGGACGAAAAAAGGGCAUUCUUGUUCACUUGACGGUACCAUAUGAAUAAGCACCGGCUAACUCCGUG